rnacentral:rRNA from 1 species
AUAAUUAUUAGUCUUUUAAUUGAAGGCUUGAAUGAAAGAUUGAAUGAAAUAUAAGCUUUAUUAAUAAUAAUAGUUUAAAUUAUAUUUCAAGUAAAAAUACUUGGAUAUAUAAGUUGGACGAGAAGACCCUAUAGAGUUUUAUUUUCUUUUUAUUUCAAAAUUUGAGAAUUAAUAUUUUUACAAUAAAAAGAAAAUUUUGUUGGGGUGACAUUAAAAUUUAUUUAACUUUUAAUAAAUAUUUCAUUAAUGUAUGUUUAAUUGAUCCAAAACUUUUGAAUAUAAGAAAAAAUUACCUUAGGGAUAACAGCGUUAUUAAUUUGGAGAGUUCAAAUCGAUAAAUUAGUUUGCGACCUCGAUGUUGGAUUAAGAAAACAUUUUGGAGCAGUAUUUAAAAUAUUAGGUCUGUUCGACCUUUAAAUUCUUACG